CCUGGGGAUAUAGCUCAGUUGGUAGAGUGCUUGCCUGCCUGCACAAGGCCCUGGGUUCAAUCCCCAGCAACAGGA
rnacentral:tRNA from 1 species